GGGAACUGAAGUCAGAUGAUUACUGCAAGGACCAGGAACAGUCAGUGCAUAGAGGAGGUGCCUAUGAGAAACAUUGAGGAGGCUAAAUGGUCCCUAGUCUGUAGAAACCUGCUACCUUCACAGAGCUGUUGUCGGCCUUUGCUCCCAGGACGCACCACAGGCUCCUCCUAUCCACCAUAUCCUACAAGCCAGUUACAGAAGAGCUCUUUAUCAGCUGGUCCCUCUGGACAAAACUGAUAUCCCUUGUCUGCUGUUUAUGGAGCACCUUAUAUGCAAGCAUUCCAUAAACUCCUCCAUGUUAACAAUCAAGGUACUAAGCAGGGUCAGUCCACGUCCUGCCCCACUUGUUACCAGCAACCUGGUAGAGUGCAACUCAUUUCAACUCAACCUGCUGAGCCUAACAAUCAAAUGAGUUUCAUACAAAUCUGACUCAGACUGUAUCAAUGUAACUUGGAUAAAGCAUUGUGGAAGACUGUCAAAAGCCUUGCUGAAGUAAAGGACACCCAUUUCACUCUUGAUGA